rnacentral:rRNA from 1 species
AGCAGCCGCGGUAAUUCCAGCUCCAAUAGCGUAUAUUAAAGUUGUUGCAGUUAAAAAGCUCGUAGUUGAAUUUCGGGGUCAAUAGGUUGGUCGUGCCAAUGGUAUGUACUGGCUUUAUUGAUUCCUACCUCUUGACGAACUGUGAUGCCAUUAAUUUGGUGUUGCAGGAAAUCAGGACUGUUACCUUGAAAAAAUUAGAGUGUUUAAAGCAGGCUUACGCUUGAAUACAUUAGCAUGGAAUAAUGAAAUAGGACGUUUGAACCUAUUUUGUUGGUUUCUAGGAUCGACGUAAUGAUUAAUAGGGAUAGUUGGGGGCAUUAGUAUUCAAUUGCCAGAGGUGAAAUUCUUGGAUUUAUUGAAGACUAACUACUGCGAAAGCAUUUGCCAAGGAUGUUUUCAUUAAUCAAGAACGAAAGUUAGGGGAUCGAAGACGAUCAGAUACCGUCGUAGUCUUAACCAUAAACUAUGCCGACUAGGGAUCGGAUGAUGUUAAUUUUUAAUGACUCAUUCGGCGCCUUAA